GAUGAACGCUGGCGGCGUGCCUAAUACAUGCAAGUCGAGCGAACAGAUAAGGAGCUUGCUCCUUUGACGUUAGCGGCGGACGGGUGAGUAACACGUGGGUAACCUACCUAUAAGACUGGAAUAACUCCGGGAAACCGGGGCUAAUGCCGGAUAACAUGUUGAACCGCAUGGUUCUACAGUGAAAGGCGGCUUUGCUGUCACUUAUAGAUGGACCCGCGCCGUAUUAACUAGUUGGUGAGGUAACGGCUCACCAAGGCAACGAUACGUAGCCGACCUGAGAGGGUGAUCGGCCACACUGGAACUGAGACACGGUCCAGACUCCUACGGGAGGCAGCAGUAGGGAAUCUUCCGCAAUGGGCGAAAGCCUGACGGAGCAACGCCGCGUGAGUGAUGAAGGUCUUCGGAUCGUAAAACUCUGUUAUUAGGGAAGAACAAAUGCGUAAGUAACUGUGCGCGUCUUGACGGUACCUAAUCAGAAAGCCACGGCUAACUACGUG
rnacentral:rRNA from 1 species